rnacentral:misc_RNA from 1 species
GAUGAAGAACGCAGCGAAAUGCGAUAAGUAAUGUGAAUUGCAGAAUUCAGUGAAUCAUCGAAUCUUUGAACGCACAUUGCGCCCAUUAGCAUUCUAGUGGGCAUGCCUGUUCGAGCGUCAUUUCAACCCUCAAGCCCCCGGGCUUGGUGUUGGGGAUCGGCGAGCCUCCGCGCCCGCCGUCCCCUAAAUCUAGUGGCGGUCUCGCUGUAGCUUCCUCUGCGUAGUAGCACACCUCGCACUGGGAAACAGCGCGGCCACGCCGUUAAACCCCCAACUUCUGAACGUUUGACCUCGGAUCAGGUAGGAAUACCCACUGAACUUAAGCAUAUCAAUAAGCGGAGGA